rnacentral:rRNA from 1 species
GACAGAGGGUGCAAACGUUGUUCGGAAUUACUGGGCGUAAAGGGCUCGUAGGCGGCCAACUAAGUCAUACGUGAAAUCCCUCAGCUUAACUGGGGAACUGCGUGUGAUACUGGAUGGCUUGGAUUUGGGAGAGGGAUGCGGAAUUCCAGGUGUAGCGGUGAAAUGCGUAGAUAUCUGGAGGAACACCGGUGGCGAAGGCGGCAUCCUGGACCAAUAUUGACGCUGAGGAGCGAAAGCUAGGGGAGCAAACGGG